UGGGGAAUUUUGGACAAUGGGGGAAACCCUGAUCCAGCCAUCCCGCGUGUGCGAUGAAGGCCUUCGGGUUGUAAAGCACUUUUGGCAGGAAAGAAACGUCAUGGGUUAAUACCCCGUGAAACUGACGGUACCUGCAGAAUAAGCACCGGCUAACUACGUGCCAGCAGCCGCGGGAAUAUGUAGGGUGCAAGCGUUAAUCGGAAUUACUGGGCGUAAAGCGUGCGGAGGCGGUUCGGAAAGAAAGAUGUGAAAUCCCAGAGCUCAACUUUGGAACUGCAUGUUUAACUCCCGGGCUAGAGUGUGUCAGAGGGAGGUGGAAUUCCGCGUGUAGCAGUGAAAUGCGUAGAUAUGCGGAGGAACACCGGUGGCGAAGGCAGCCUCCUGGGAUAAUACUGACGCUCAUGCACGAAAGCGUGGGGAGCAAACAGG
rnacentral:rRNA from 1 species